UACGUAGGGCGCGAGCGUUGUCCGGAAUUAUUGGGCGUAAAGAGCGUGUAGGCGGCCAGACAGGUCCGUUGUGAAAACUCGAGGCUCAACCUCGAGACGCCGAUGGAAACCGUUUGGCUAGAGUCCGGAAGAGGAGAGUGGAAUUCCUGGUGUAGCGGUGAAAUGCGCAGAUAUCAGGAGGAACACCGGUGGCGAAGGCGGGUCUCUGGGCAGUAACUGACGCUGAGGAGCGAAAGCGUGGGGAGCGAACAGG
rnacentral:rRNA from 1 species